AUUGAACGCUGGCGGCAUGCCUUACACAUGCAAGUCGAACGGCAGCACGGGUGCUUGCACCUGGUGGCGAGUGGCGAACGGGUGAGUAAUACAUCGGAACGUACCUUAUCGUGGGGGAUAACGCAGCGAAAGUUGCGCUAAUACCGCAUACGCCCUGAGGGGGAAAGCGGGGGACCGUAAGGCCUCGCGCGAUUAGAGCGGCCGAUGUCUGAUUAGCUUGUUGGUGAGGUAAAAGCUAACCAAGGCGAUGAUCAGUAGCUGGUCUGAGAGGACGAUCAGCCACACAGGGACUGAGACACGGCCCAGACGCCGACGGGAGGCAGCAGUGGGGAAUUUUGGACAAUGGGGGCAACCCUGAUCCAGCAAUGCCGCGUGAGUGAAGAAGGCCUUCGGGUCGUAAAGCUCUUUUGUCAGGGAAGAAACAGCAGCUCUAACACAGUCUGCGAAUGACGGUACCUGAAGAAUAAGCACCGGCUAACUACUUGCCAGCAGCCGCGGUAA
rnacentral:rRNA from 1 species